rnacentral:rRNA from 1 species
CCCUUAGAUGUCCUGGGCCGCACGCGCGCUACACUGAACGGAUCAGCGCGUUUUCCCUUCCCGAGAGGAACGGGUAACCUGCUGAACCCCGUUCGUGGUAGGGAUCGGGGCUUGCAAUUAUUCCCCGUGAACCAGGAAUGCCCAGUAAGUGCAAGUCAUAAGCUUGCGUUGAUUACGUCCCUGCCCUUUGUACACACCGCCCGUCGCUACUACCGAUUGAACGUUUUAGCGAGGUACUCGGACCGAGCCUCAGAAGAUUCACGUCUUUUGUGCUGCUCGGGAAGAUUCCCAAACUUGAGCGUUUAGAGGAAGUAAAAGUCGUAACA